GUGAAUGGAUGAAUAUCAGAUCCACCCACAUAGCUCUUUUCUUCAGUACCUUUUCCGGUUCAUUCUUCGAGCACCGUCGGAGUGCAGUACUUCCUAUCGCAAGAUUGUGUUCAACUACCGAUUCCACUGUCACAGAUAUCUCAGAUCUUCCAGAAGUAUGCGAAGCUGUUCACGUUCUGCUCAAUUAUCUUCUUUAUGGUUUCUCAAGUAGCGAUGGUUUGCGGGGCGAUUUGGUGAUUUCCAGGCCAGCAAGGUGUGGGGUCUAAUUAGGGGUUUAGCAACAAAGUUAUGGGUGUUGUGGACAUUCCAAUACUUUGCAAGAGAAACGGUGUUGAGCGUGAAUGGCGUUGCUGUCUCCUUUGGGUGUGAAAAAGUGCUGGUCGCACUGGUGGAUUCCUAAGUUAGCUGCAGCUGAAUCACCACUCUCAGAAGUUAUCUCCACGAGCUCAGUAGUAAGAAAGCACGCAGCACUCUUCCGGGCCAGGAAAUGUGAAGAAACUUAGGUAGCAGCAGCCAGCUCACUACCUAAUCGCAUUUUUGCUCAUGUGUGAUUGGUUCAUGAGCACAUAUUCUUUGUAUUCCAACAUAGUACAUUUUCAUUGCUAAAAAAAUAACAAGUUCUGUAUAAUAAGCAACCCUGACUUUUGAGUUAAAUUUUUUACAUCCAGACAUGUCUACUGCAAUUUC